AGUCUAGCGGUUAGGAUUCCUGGCUCUCACCCAGGCGGCCCGGGUUCGACUCCCAG
rfam:Macrostomum lignano uti_cns_0047347, whole genome shotgun sequence.